rnacentral:rRNA from 1 species
CCUACGGGAGGCAGCAGUGAGGAAUAUUGGUCAAUGGCCGAGAGGCUGAACCAGCCAAGUCGCGUGAGGGAAGAAUGUCCUAUGGAUUGUAAACCUCUUUUGUCAGGGAGCAAAGUCACCCACGUGUGGGUGUUUGAGAGUACCUGAAGAAAAAGCAUCGGCUAACUCCGUGCCAGCAGCCGCGGUAAUACGGAGGAUGCGGGCGUUAUCCGGAUUUAUUGGGUUUAAAGGGUGCGUAGGCGGGUUCUCAAGUCAGCGGUAAAAUCGUGGAGCUCAACUCCAGCCAGCCGUUGAAACUGAUGUUCUUGAGUGGGCGAGAAGUAUGCGGAAUGCGUGGUGUAGCGGUGAAAUGCAUAGAUAUCACGCAGAACUCCGAUUGCGAAGGCAGCAUACCGGCGCCCGACUGACGCUGAAGCACGAAAGCGUGGGUAUCGAACAGGAUUAGAUACCCCAGUAGUC